rnacentral:ncRNA from 1 species
ACUCGGGAGCUAACAAGCUGAGAUAUCCUUUGGGAUAACCGAUAAGACCUGAUCUAGGUAAUGCUAGCGAAGGGAGAUAAUUAUUUA